rnacentral:rRNA from 1 species
UAACACAUGCAAGUCGAGCGAGGCUCCCCUUUCGGGAGGAUGCCCUAGCGGCGAACGGGUGAGUAACACGUGGGCAACCUGCCCUUAGCUCUGGGAUAACCCCGGGAAACCGGGGCUAAUACCGGAUACGAGUUCGGAAGGCAUCUUCUGAACUGGAAAAGGUUUACUGGCUAAGGAUGGGCCCGCGGCCUAUCAGCUUGUUGGUGGGGUAAUGGCCUACCAAGGCAACGACGGGUAGCCGGCCUGAGAGGGCGACCGGCCACACUGGGACUGGGACACGGCCCAGACUCCUACGGGAGGCAGCAGUGGGGAAUAUUGCACAAUGGGCGAAAGCCUGAUGCAGCGACGCCGCGUGAGGGAUGACGGCCUUCGGGUUGUAAACCUCUUUCAGCAGGGACGAAGCGAAAGUGACGGUACCUGCAGAAGAAGCACCGGCCAACUACGUGCCAGCAGCCGCGGUAAUACGUAGGGUGCAAGCGUUGUCCGGAAUUAUUGGGCGUAAAGAGCUCGUAGGCGGCUCGUCACGUCGGCUGUGAAAACCUGGGGCUCAACCCCGGGCCUGCAGCCGAUACGGGCGAGCUAGAAUUCGGUAGGGGAGACUGGAAUUCCUGGUGUAGCGGUGAAAUGCGCAGAUAUCAGGAGGAACACCGGUGGCGAAGGCGGGUCUCUGGGCCGAUAUUGACGCUGAGGAGCGAAAGCGUGGGGAGCAAACAGGAUUAGAUACCCUGGUAGUCCACGCCGUAAACGGUGGGAACUAGGUGUGGGCCACAUUCCACGUGGUCUGUGCCGCAGCUAACGCAUUAAGUUCCCCGCCUGGGGAGUACGGCCGCAAGGCUAAAACUCAAACGAAUUGACGG